rnacentral:rRNA from 1 species
AACGUUGGCGGCGUGCUUAAUACAUGCAAGUCAACUGAAGCACCGGUAGUAAUACUGGUGUGGAGGUGGCGCACGGGUGAGUAACACGUAGGUAAUCUGCCUUCAGGUCUGACAUAACCCCGAGAAAUCGGGGCUAAUAGCAGAUGAUGCAGCGACUUGACAUCAAGACAGUUGUUAAAGCUUCGGCGCCUGAAGAUGAGCCUGCGUCUGAUUAGCUAGUUGGCGGAGUAAUGGCCCACCAAGGCUACGAUCAGUAACUGGUCUGAGAGGAUGAUCAGUCACACUGGAACUGAGACACGGUCCAGACUCCUACGGGAGGCAGCAGUAAGGAAUAUUGCUCAAUGGGAGAAAUCCUGAAGCAGCAACGCCGCGUGAGGGAUGAAGGGCUUUUGCUCGUAAACCUCUGUAGUGAGGGAAAAAUUUCCACUCUGUGGAAUAUGAUGGUACCUCAAAAGUAAGCCCCGGCUAACUACGUG